UUGUGCUGUGUGGGACGCCACCUCAGCAUGGCCUGAUGAACAGUGCCAUGUCCGCGCCCAGGAUCCGAACCCGAAAAACCCCGGGCCGUCCAAGCGGAGCGCACAAACUUAACCACUGGGCCACGGGCAGACCCUCAAUGAUAGUUUUUCGUAUGUAAAUCUGUUCUCCCCAGCAACAGGAAUGUCAAAAUACUCUAAAGAAGGGAAGAAAGUGUGCAAACAGAGGAAGAGAUCCCAGGAGUGCAGGCACACAGAGAAAAAGGCCUUGUGAAGACACAGGGAGAAGGCGGCCAUCAGCAAGUCAAGAAGAAAAGUCUCACCAGAAACCAACCCUGCUGGCACCUUGAUCUGGGACUUUCAGCCUUGAGAAU